AGACAUAUUCGCAAUCACGCACAUCUAUAUAUAUCGGUGGGAUCAUGCCAAGCCCGACACUGUUUGCACAUGCCAGAGGAUGACCGUGAUCUUGGAAAGGACGAUCAACUCCACAUGAUAAAUUUUAAUGUGUCUGUGUGUGGGUAUUCACCUCCUUUUGUGUGCAGGAGAGUCGCCAUACCUGUCUCUACAUGUAUAUAUGUAUAUGAAUGCAGGUAUGUAUGGCCACGGGGGUGUAUGUACCUCUGGCGGCGUGUGGCAGUUUCCCGCUGACAUUUUUCGUAAGUCUGUAUCUAUGCGAACAGACCUGUGGAAAUACUACAUUGUGUAGCAACUCAAGGCGUCUGUUUUUGUGCUUGCGUAGCGGGCCUUGCAGCGUUUCGAAAUAAGUUGAUAUUCCGAAGAAAACCGAAUUCCCUGUGUUUGCAUUCACUAUUUAGAAAUAGAUAACAAUGACAGUGAUGUCAUCGACGACAUUGUGCUCUUCCUCAAUCCAACGUCUCCAAGCUUCUCUGGCGAUUGCAUCGCAUGCUUUCUGCACCUGGACAAAAUGGCCGAACAAACACGAAGGAAAGGGAGAAUCUGUGUUCUCUGCUGGAGACAAAACCGAUGCUCCAGGAACAAGCCAGCGCUCCAGUCUCUGUGUUUUUACCUAGCCGCGUUGAGGGCAGUCCGUUUUCUAGGAAAGUUUGUACGAACCCCUGGGUCGGUUUUGUACUUGUCUUGCCAUCUCCAUGCUUCGAUUCCUUCUUUUGCAUGUACGCAUUCGCCCGUGUAUCUACGCGUAUAUAUAUAUAUAUAUAUAUAUAUAUAUAUAUAUAUACGUGGUGGAGUGCAGGAUAAACAGCAAAACAGGUAACUAAUGAUGCAGAUAAAAGUCGUGACAGACAUGGUCAGGUAGAUAGGUGCGCUCACGGCUUUUUCAGCUUAAGGAUGCGGGAAAGAGGAAAGCACAGGAAUCGCGAAGAACUCUUAUGCUAGCCAUCCCGGUACCUGCAAUUCCCUACAAAAACGCGGGGCGACCGCAACCUUUCAACAGUACCUGAUCGCGUCCAAAAGCGCCAACCAUAUUGACGGCUUCUUGUGAGGAAAUAAACUCCCAGACACCAUCGGAGCAAAUGAGCAGGAAUUCAUCACGGCCUUCGAGGAUUUCAUACUCUGAAGAAAACGGCCGCAAGCAUCGGUAGUAUGUUGUGCAUAAGGCGCUGCGUCUACAGACACUGGAACAUUCGCCACGCGCAAGGUCCAGUGGGGUGGCGGUGUACACAAUCUUAAAAUACUUGGUUGUCUGCAUCUCGUAACUGGAGUCCCAUUCAGUAUCCUAGGAAAAUCGCGGAUAUCGUAGGCAAUGUGGCGCUCGCCUGCAGCAACGCCAAGCCUCGCGAACCCGUCGGCGUCGAAUGCGAACGAAACCAAAAAAAGCGGGGAAAGGACGGACACGGCAAAAGCGUGAAACGGGACGCGAGUGCAUUCUUUUGUUAAAACACCUGUCACUGGCUGAGACGAGGCGAGUCGAGGAUGCAUCCCAUGAAAUUCAAUAUUCCAAACAGCCAUUCGCCAAGACGAAUUCAAAAAUAAAGAAGACGUAGGCAUGAUAAACGCCAUCAGGCAUCCACGGCAACGGCGGGAUUGGUCGCAACUUCAUAUCGGAAAAGAGCAAAAGCCCCUCACACUGCUGGCACCCCAAUAGAGAAUGACUCGCAACGAAAUGAGAAGAGGAAAGGCAAAUCGAGAAGAGCGACUGCUGUCUCUCUGACCUCGGACUUCAGGGUCUGCAAUAACCCCCGCUUGAGUGGCGAUUGUAUCUCCGAUCGCUCGACUCAUGGCAAGACCAGGAAAGAGUCGGUUCUUCAAAAACACACGGUGCGGAACGUCGCCAUCUAACCGACGGACUUGACCGCCUGUACAGAAAAGCGCACCCAUGGAACAAUAACUGC
rnacentral:lncRNA from 1 species